UUACGAAAUCCCAAGGUAUCCACUAAAAAACUAUUAUAACUAAUAUACAAGUUCAGCAAACCUGUAGUAUACAAGAUUAAUACACAAAAAUCAAUUGUAUUUCUAUAUACUUACAAUAAUCUGAAGACUAAAUUUUUUAAAAUCCCACUUAAAACAGCAUCAAAAAUAAAAUACUUAGAAAUAAAUUUAACAAGAACUAUAAAACUUAUACUCUGAAAACAACAAAACAUUGUUGAAGAAAUUAAAGAU
rnacentral:lncRNA from 10 species